UACGAAGGGUGCUAGCGUUGUUCGGAAUUACUGGGCGUAAAGCGCGUGUAGGUGGUCCUCUCAGCCAGGGGUGAAAUGCCGAAGCUUAACUUCGGAAUUGCCUUUGGUACUAGAGGGCUAGAGUCUGAUAGAGGAUGGUAGAAUUCCUAGUGUAGCGGUGAAAUGCGUAGAUAUUAGGAGGAAUACCGGUGGCGAAGGCGGCCAUCUGGAUCAGUACUGACGCUAAGACGCGAAAGCGUGGGGAGCAAACAGG
rnacentral:rRNA from 1 species